AAUCAACUAAUCCAAACUUAGUCAAAGUGGUCAAGAGCAAACGAACAGCAAUCUCCCAAAGCGGACAACAACCCGAGGUACAGCCACAAGAUUUUCAAUUUCAAGUUCUGCAGCUCACUCCACACUUCAGAUGCAUCCUGGGAUUCAUAUGGGC
rnacentral:lncRNA from 11 species